rnacentral:rRNA from 1 species
AUUGAACGCUGACGGCAGGCCUAACACAUGCAAGUCGGACGGUAGCACAGAGAGCUUGCUCUUGGGUGACGAGUGGCGGACGGGUGAGUAAUGUCUGGGGAUCUGCCCGAUAGAGGGGGAUAACCACUGGAAACGGUGGCUAAUACCGCAUAACGUCGCAAGACCAAAGAGGGGGACCUUCGGGCCUCUCACUAUCGGAUGACCCCAGAUGGGAUUAGCUAGUAGGCGGGGUAAUGGCCCACCUAGGCGAACACCCCUAGCUGGUCUGAGAGGAUGACCAGCCACACUGGAACUGAGACACGGUCCAGACUCCUACGGGAGGCAGCAGUGGGGAAUAUUGCACAAUGGGCGCAAGCCUGAUGCAGCCAUGCCGCGUGUAUGAAGAAGGCCUUCGGGUUGUAAAGUACUUUCAGCGGGGAGGAAGGCGGUGCGGUUAAUAACCGUACCGAUUGACGUUACCCGCAGAAGAAGCACCGGCUAACUCCGUGCCAGCCGCCGCCGUAA